rnacentral:lncRNA from 1 species
CCAACUCAGAGGAGCCAUGGGAUAAGAAAAGAGGAGCAUUUAUCUUGGAUGAUUGAGUGGAGGAAAUACAUAGGCUAAAACCUAAAUGAUACAUAAAAGCCAGAAUUCAAAAGUGAAGCCAUCAGGACCCGGGCUUUUCUUUGUAGCCUGAGAAUUCCAGAAGAUUUGGGAAAUGUCCAUGGAAAUAGCUCAUCCAGUACUACCUCCACCUCACACCUUUGACUACCAAAAGCAAGUAGGGAGGACUGUCUAUGGCGAUAAUACCCCUCAUCAACAAGAAAAUGAUAGAAUUCUAAAAUUGGAAAGUAGGCUUCUCUAAAGUACCUUCAGAUCCCACUGGGUUAAAACUGUGAGAAGAAUGGGAGCAGUAAGGAUACACAGAUAUCUGAGAUCGAUGGUGAACUGAAGCAGAGCAGUAAAAGCCAAAGAAAGAGAACAAAUGCCGAGGCUGUGCACAAUAAAUAAAAUUCACUGGCUGCUUGGAAGACACAGCGGUUGAGUGUGUCCGAUGCUGAGUAAUCAGAGACCAACUGGUUCUUUUUGUGUCUAAGAAUCAAUUUUUGUGACUAAGAAUCAAGAAGAAAACGGCUGCCAUUUGUGUGGAUGAUAACCCCAGAGAGAAAUGAUUACUGGGAAUCUGCUACUUCUUUUAUUUUUUCAAACAACGGAACAAUCUGCAAACGCUGUUUCUUAGCAACCUAAUCACGCCACCUGAUCUCAGACCAUCUUUGAACCAUUGGAGCUACAUUUAGCUUCAGUGUUGCUUCCCAGAGUCACCAGUCCAAGAAGCCCUGCUAGUAACCAGUGAUCCAGUCCAUCCCAUGCAGACCCGAGAGCAGGACCUCAACUUCCUGGGCAGAUGGAGAAAGGCAUAAAGAAAGGCAAAAUAUCUGAAAGACUGAGCAUUUUUACCACAAAAGAAAAACCCAAGGAAGAACAUUUAAAACUUCAUGACAUGAACAGGGUGCAAAGAUUACCUUUCUUUCAGUUGCAGCAUGAAAUUCAAGUUUACUGAGGGUCCUGAUAAUGAAAGAAAGCACUCUUAGAAAGAUAAAUCCAAAGGCAAUGUUUCUUCUAAUGUUAAUAAAUCUCAUACAUUCAAUGAAACAGACAGGCUUUAAUAGUUCUGUAUGACUUAACCUCUCAAUCAAUAUAAAGAAAUUUGAUAAGCCUGGGUAAAAAGAAUUUAAU